rnacentral:rRNA from 1 species
AAUCUGCGAUAAGCGUCGGUAAGGUGAUAUGAACCGUUAUAACCGGCGAUUUCCGAAUGGGGAAACCCAGUGUGUUUCGACACACUAUCAUUAACUGAAUCCAUAGGUUAAUGAGGCGAACCGGGGGAACUGAAACAUCUAAGUACCCCGAGGAAAAGAAAUCAACCGAGAUUCCCCCAGUAGCGGCGAGCGAACGGGGAGCAGCCCAGAGCCUGAAUCAGUAUGUGUGUUAGUGGAAGCGUCUGGAAAGGCGCGCGAUACAGGGUGACAGCCCCGUACACAAAAAUGCACAUGCUGUGAGCUCGAUGAGUAGGGCGGGACACGUGGUAUCCUGUCUGAAUAUGGGGGGACCAUCCUCCAAGGCUAAAUACUCCUGACUGACCGAUAGUGAACCAGUACCGUGAGGGAAAGGCGAAAAGAACCCCGGCGAGGGGAGUGAAAAAGAACCUGAAACCGUGUACGUACAAGCAGUGGGAGCACGCUUAGGCGUGUGACUGCGUACCUUUUGUAUAAUGGGUCAGCGACUUAUAUUCUGUAGCAAGGUUAACCGAAUAGGGGAGCCGAAGGGAAACCGAGUCUUAACUGGGCGUUAAGUUGCAGGGUAUAGACCCGAAACCCGGUGAUCUAGCCAUGGGCAGGUUGAAGGUUGGGUAACACUAACUGGAGGACCGAACCGACUAAUGUUGAAAAAUUAGCGGAUGACUUGUGGCUGGGGGUGAAAGGCCAAUCAAACCGGGAGAUAGCUGGUUCUCCCCGAAAGCUAUUUAGGUAGCGCCUCGUGAAUUCAUCUCCGGGGGUAGAGCACUGUUUCGGCAAGGGGGUCAUCCCGACUUACCAACCCGAUGCAAACUGCGAAUACCGGAGAAUGUUAUCACGGGAGACACACGGCGGGUGCUAACGUCCGUCGUGAAGAGGGAAACAACCCAGACCGCCAGCUAAGGUCCCAAAGUCAUGGUUAAGUGGGAAACGAUGUGGGAAGGCCCAGACAGCCAGGAUGUUGGCUUAGAAGCAGCCAUCAUUUAAAGAAAGCGUAAUAGCUCACUGGUCGAGUCGGCCUGCGCGGAAGAUGUAACGGGGCUAAACCAUGCAC